AUUCCAGCUCCAAUAGCGUAUAUUAAAGUUGUUGCAGUUAAAAAGCUCGUAGUCGGAUUUCGGGGCGGGCCGGGCGGUCUGCCGAUGGGUAUGCACUGUCCGGCGCGUCCUUCUUUCCGGAGACCGCGCCUACUCUUAGCUGAGCGGGCGUGGGAGACGGAUCGUUUACUUUGAAAAAAUCAGAGUGUUUCAAGCAGGCAGCUCGCUCUUGCAUGGAUUAGCAUGGGAUAAUGAAAUAGGACUCUGGUGCUAUUUUGUUGGUUUCGAACACCGGAGUAAUGAUUAACAGGGACAGUCAGGGGCACUCGUAUUCCGUCGAGAGAGGUGAAAUUCUCAGACCAAUGGAAGACGAACCACUGCGAAAGCAUUUGCCAGGGAUGUUUUCAUUA
rnacentral:rRNA from 1 species